rnacentral:lncRNA from 1 species
AGAAAUUCUGGAAUCUUCUCUCAUCUUCUUCCUUUUUCUGUGGGCUCUCAUGGCAUGAGGAACACAGUUGUCUCACCAUUGAAGCUCACCUUCAAAUCUCAACAGAGCUUUGAACUACUGUUCUAUUGACCAAUUCAAAUAUGGUAUCAGAGCUAGGAGCAUCGAUUUUCGAAUCACCUCACAAAAUUUGCUAGUUCUACUUCCGUCACAGACGAUUUGAACUAGCUCGCACACACGCAAAUUCAUUUCUUCAUUGAUCUUGAGUUGUGGUCGUGAGGACAGGUUAUGUUUUACUUUUGAUCUGUAAUUGUUUGAGAAUUGUUGCUAAAUUCGUAAUCACCAUAUUUUCUAGCCCUCAAAUCUC